rnacentral:miRNA from 1 species
AGGGGAGUGCCUGGGAAGCUGU